rnacentral:rRNA from 1 species
AUUGAACGCUAGCGGGAUGCUUUACACAUGCAAGUCGAACGAGUGGCGGAAGGGUGAGUAAUAAACCUGAACGUGCCCAGUAGCGGGGGAUAACUACUCGAAAGAGUGGCUAAUACCGACAUAUAUGUGCGCGGCCGAUAUCGGAUUAGCUAGUUGGUGGGGUAAAGGCUCAACAAGGCCACGAUCCGUAGCUGGUUUGAGAGGACGAACAGCCACACUGGGACUGAGACACGGCCCAGACUCCUACGGGAGGCAGCAGUGGGGAAUUUUGGACAAUGGGGGAAACCCUGAUCCAGCCAUCCCGCGUGUAUGAGAAGGCCUUCGGGUUGUAAAGUACUUUUGGCAGAGAAGCGGUAUCUGCAGAAUAAGCACCGGCUAACUACGUGCCAGCAGCCGCGGUAAUUC